GAUGAACGCUGGCGGCGUGCUUAACACAUGCAAGUCGAACGAUGAAGCCCAGCUUGCUGGGUGGAUUGGUGGCGAACGGGUGAGUAACACGUGAGUAACCUGCCCUUGACUCUGGGAUAAGCCCGGGAAACUGGGUCUAAUACCGGAUAGGAGCGCCUGUCGCAUGACGGGUGUUGGAAAGAUUUUUCGGUCAUGGAUGGACUCGCGGCCUAUCAGCUUGUUGGUGAGGUAAUGGCUCACCAAGGCGACGACGGGUAGCCGGCCUGAGAGGGUGACCGGCCACACUGGGACUGAGACACGGCCCAGACUCCUACGGGAGGCAGCAGUGGGGAAUAUUGCACAAUGGGCGGAAGCCUGAUGCAGCGACGCCGCGUGAGGGAUGACGGCCUUCGGGUUGUAAACCUCUUUCAGUAGGGAAGAAGCGAAAGUGACGGUACCUGCAGAAGAAGCACCGGCUAACUACGUG
rnacentral:rRNA from 1 species